UACGUAGGGUGCGAGCGUUAAUCGGAAUUACUGGGCGUAAAGCGUGCGCAGGCGGUUCGUUGUGUCUGUGGUGAAAGCCCCGGGCUUAACCUGGGAACUGCGUUUGAAACUGGGAGACUUGAGUGUGGCAGAGGGGGGUGGAAUUCCACGUGUAGCAGUGAAAUGCGUAGAUAUGUGGAGGAACACCGAUGGCGAAGGCAGCCCCCUGGGUUAACACUGACGCUCAUGCACGAAAGCGUGGGGAGCAAACAGG
rnacentral:rRNA from 1 species